AGUUGAAGCACUCUAAGAGGAGGAGCUUGCUCUAGAGAGAGAGUAGGAAGUUCGGCAAGAAGGCGGGAAGAAAGCGGCGAAGAAGCGGCGGAGAAUGGGCCUCGUCGGAGUUGCGGGUCUUCGCCGGAGUUAGCCAAAAUCAAUCAGCAAAAAAGCGAGAAACCUAGGCCGUUUGCUGUAAAAUUAUACCGUCGAAGAGAUAAACCAACAAGGUGAGGUGGUGAAUUUGUGGAUUAUUUUACAUCUCCAUUAUCUGACAGCCCAAGGAGUGGAGUCUAUUUUUGUCAACUUCUAGUCCACAAUGGGCCAUGCCAUGCUUCAUGUCGGACUUCAAAUUCACAUAGAGAACGUGCU